rnacentral:rRNA from 1 species
AUUGAACGCUGGCGGCAGGCCUAACACAUGCAAGUCGGGCGAGCGGAGGGCGGGUGAGUAAUGUAUGUGCAUGGGCGUGAUGGAGGGGGUCAACUACUGGAAACGGUAGCUAAAUACGCAUACCAUCAGAUGAACCCAAAUGGGUUUAUCUUGUAGGUAAGGUAACGGCGUACCUAGGCGACGAUCCCUAGCUGGUCUGAGAGGAUGAUCAGCCACACUGGGACUGAGACACGGCCCAGACUCCUACGGGAGGCAGCAGUGGGGAAUAUUGCACAAUGGGCGCAAGCCUGAUGCAGCCAUGCCGCGUGUAUGAAGAAGGCCUUCGGGUUGUAAAGUACUUUCAGUCGGGAGGCGUUACCGACAGAAGAAGCACCGGCUAACUCCGUGCCAGCCGCCGCGGUAAUAC